rnacentral:rRNA from 1 species
GAUAAACGCUAGCGGCAGGCUUAACACAUGCAAGUCGAGGGGCAGCAUAGAUUGUAGCAAUACAAUUGGUGGCGACCGGCGCACAGGUGCGUAACGCGUAUGCAACCUACCCGUCACAGGGAGAUAAUCCGGAGAAAUCUGGUCUAAUACCCCAUAACAUAUGGAUCGGCAUCGGUUCAUGUUGAAAUUUUCGGAGGUGACGGAUGGGCAUGCGUAGCAUUAGCUUGUUGGUGAGGUAACGGCUCACCAAGGCGACGAUGCUUAGGGGGACUGAGAGGUUUUCCCCCCACACUGGUACUGAGACACGGACCAGAGUCCUACGGGAGGCAGCAGUGAGGAAUAUUGGUCAAUGGGCGCAAGCCUGAACCAGCCAUGCCGCGUGCGGGAUGACGGCUCUAUGAGUUGUAAACUGCUUUUGUACGAGGGUAAAGUGGGUUACGUGUAACCUUUUGAAAGUAUCGUACGAAUAAGGAUCGGCUAACUCCGUGCCAGCCGCCGCCGUAA